AUAUCGGAACGUACCCUAGAGUGGGGGAUAAGAAACGAAAGUUACGCUAAUACCGCAUACGAUCUAAGGAUGAAAGUGGGGGAUCGCAAGACCUCAUGCUCGUGSAGCGGCCGAUAUCUGAUUAGCUAGUUGGUAGGGUAAAAGCCUACCAAGGCAUCGAUCAGUAGCUGGUCUGAGAGGACGACCAGCCACACUGGAACUGAGACACGGUCCAGACUCCUACGGGAGGCAGCAGUGGGGAAUUUUGGACAAUGGGCGAAAGCCUGAUCCAGCAAUGCCGCGUGAGUGAAGAAGGCCUUCGGGUUGUAAAGCUCUUUUGUCAGGGAAGAAACGGUGAGAGCUAAUAUCUUUUGCUAAUGACGGUACCUGAAGAAUAAGCACCGGCUAACUACGUGCCAGCAGCCGCGGUAAUACGUAGGGUGCAAGCGUUAAUCGGAAUUACUGGGCGUAAAGCGUGCGCAGGCGGUUUUGUAAGUCUGAUGUGAAAUCCCCGGGCUCAACCUGGGAAUUGCAUUGGAGACUGCAAGGCUAGAAUCUGGCAGAGGGGGGUAGAAUUCCACGUGUAGCAGUGAAAUGCGUAGAUAUGUGGAGGAACACCGAUGGCGAAGGCAGCCCCCUGGGUCAAGAUUGACGCUCAUGCACGAAAGCGUGGGGAGCAAACAGGAUUAGAUACCCUGGUAGUCCACGCCCUAAACGAUGUCUACUAGUUGUCGG
rnacentral:rRNA from 1 species